GCUUACGGCCAUACCACCCUGAAUGCGCCCGAUCUCGUCUGAUCUCGGAAGCUAGCAGGGUCAGGCCUGGUUGUACUUGUGGGGACCGCCUGGGAAUACCAGGUGUGUAAGCU
rnacentral:rRNA from 1 species